CAGCGCCGCGGUAAUACGUAGGGUGCAAGCGUUAAUCGGAAUUACUGGGCGUAAAGCGUGCGCAGGCGGUUUGUUAAGACAGAUGUGAAAUCCCCGGGCUCAACCUGGGAACUGCAUUUGUGACUGGCAAGCUAGAGUGUGGCAGAGGGGGGUGGAAUUCCGCGUGUAGCAGUGAAAUGCGUAGAGAUGUGGAGGAACACCGAUGGCGAAGGCAGCCCCCUGGGCCAAUACUGACGCUCAUGCACGAAAGCGUGGGGAGCAAACAGGAUUAGAUACCCCCGUAGUCCCUGUCUCUUAUACC
rnacentral:rRNA from 1 species